UCCCGCCCAGCUGGAGCUCUGGAGCCUUUGCUUCCUCAAAUACGAGCGGGAACUGCGUUGAGCGCUGGAUUCCAGGCCGAGUGCUGGCGAGGCGCGCAUGUUUCAGCUGAACCAUCCGUUCAUCUUCAAGCCAUCAUGAGCUGUAAGAAGCAGAGGUCACGGAAGCACUCAGUCAAUGAAAAAUGUAAUAUGAAAAUCGAGCACUAUUUUUCUCCGGUCUCUAAAGAGCAACAGAAUAAUUGCAGUACUUCUCUAAUGAGGAUGGAGUCUAGAGGAGACCCAAGAGCCACAACUAAUACCCAGGCUCAAAGAUUCCAUUCACCUAAGAAAAAUCCAGAAGACCAGACCAUGCCCCAAAAUAGGACAAUAUAUGUUACCUUGAAGGUAAACCACAGGAGAAACCAAGAUAUGAAACUUAAGCUC
rnacentral:lncRNA from 1 species